GAAUACUCAAUAAAUAUUCUUUGGUUUUCACUUUGUUUUUCUUUCUUUUGUGGCUCUUCUUUUUGUUCGGUUGCCUUUAAAAUCUUUAAAAGAGUUAAGAUAGCCAUUUCUAAUUGUGGGAUAUCAAAAACUAGUUGUUAGAAACUAUGUCUAUAAUUUUGGAUUUUCUAUAAACUAGCCAUUAGUGCUAUCAGCCGUGGCCGAGUCAACUCAAGAUCAAGUAGGGUUUGACUC
rnacentral:lncRNA from 1 species